rnacentral:misc_RNA from 1 species
UUUCCGUAGGUGAACCUGCGGAAGGAUCAUUACAGAGUUCAUGCCCUCACGGGUAGAUCUCCCACCCUUGAAUAUUUAUACCUUAGUUGCUUUGGCAGGCCGUGGAAACACCAUGGGCUCCGGCUUAUGCGUGCCAGCCAGAGGAAACAAACUCUGUUUUUAGUGAUGUCUGAGUACUAUAUAAUAGUUAAAACUUUCAACAACGGAUCUCUUGGUUCUG